GCCUGAGUGGCUUAGUCGGUUAGGCAUCUGACUUCGGCUCAGGUCAAGAACUCACGAUUUGUGGGUUCGAGCCCCGCAUCGGGCU
rnacentral:tRNA from 1 species